UCAUGAAGAGUUGUUUUCUUUAGCGGACUACCAUUUCCAGUGGACUGAACACACCUAACAACCAAGAAGCGGGUCAUAGGCUGCCUACUUCGAACGGACAACUUAGACGAUGCAGCUCUGGCAAGGAAAGACGCCUUGGCACGGAAAUCGACGAAGCACACAGGUGCAGAAGAUCUGGACGUGAAGGAAAAAGAAGGAGAUAGAGAGGCAGCAGGGCUAGAAUUUGCGAGCUUGGAAAUCGUAGCCAUGGAGGC
rnacentral:misc_RNA from 1 species